rnacentral:rRNA from 1 species
UACGGGGGGAGCAAGCGUUGUUCGGAUUUACUGGGCGUAAAGGGCGCGUAGGCGGCCAGCACAAGUCAGUUGUGAAAUCUCCGAGCUUAACUCGGAAAGGUCAACUGAUACUGUGCGGCUAGAGUGCGGAAGGGGCAACUGGAAUUCUUGGUGUAGCGGUGAAAUGCGUAGAUAUCAAGAGGAACACCUGCGGCGAAGGCGGGUUGCUGGGCCGACACUGACGCUGAGGCGCGAAAGCUAGGGGAGCGAAACGGG